rnacentral:tRNA from 1 species
GCCAGUGUGGCACAGUGGUUUGAGUGUUGGACUACAACUCUGGAGACCAGGGUUCAAUUCCUAGCUCAGCCA